GAUGAACGCUGGCGGCGUGCUUAACACAUGCAAGUCGAACGGUGAAGGCGGAGCUUGCUCUGCUGGAUCAGUGGCGAACGGGUGAGUAACACGUGAGCAAUCUGCCCCUGACUCUGGGAUAAGCGCUGGAAACGGCGUCUAAUACUGGAUACGAGCUGCGAAGGCAUCUUCAGUAGCUGGAAAGAAUUUCGGUCAGGGAUGAGCUCGCGGCCUAUCAGCUUGUUGGUGAGGUAAUGGCUCACCAAGGCGUCGACGGGUAGCCGGCCUGAGAGGGUGACCGGCCACACUGGGACUGAGACACGGCCCAGACUCCUACGGGAGGCAGCAGUGGGGAAUAUUGCACAAUGGGCGAAAGCCUGAUGCAGCAACGCCGCGUGAGGGACGACGGCCUUCGGGUUGUAAACCUCUUUUAGCAGGGAAGAAGCGAAAGUGACGGUACCUGCAGAAAAAGCGCCGGCUAACUACGUG
rnacentral:rRNA from 1 species